rnacentral:rRNA from 1 species
ACAGAGGUGGCGAGCGUUAUUCGGAAUUACUGGGCGUAAAGGGUGCGUAGGCGGGAUGGUAAGUCGGUCGUGAAAUCCCUCGGCUCAACCGAGGAACGUCGAUCGAUACUACCGUUCUUGAGGAUUGCAGAGGAGACUGGAAUUCCCGGUGUAGCGGUGAAAUGUGUAGAGAUCGGGAGGAACACCGGUGGCGAAGGCGGGUCUCUGGGCAAUUCCUGACGCUGAGGCGCGAAAGCGUGGGGAGCAAACGGGA